CCUACGGGAGGCAGCAGUGAGGAAUAUUGGUCAAUGGACGCAAGCCUGAACCAGCCAUGCCGCGUGCAGGAAGACGGCUCUAUGAGUUGUAAACUGCUUUUGUACGAGGGUAAACGCAGAUACGCGUAUCUGUCUGAAAGUAUCGUACGAAUAAGGAUCGGCUAACUCCGUGCCAGCAGCCGCGGUAAUACGGAGGAUUCAAGCGUUAUCCGGAUUUAUUGGGUUUAAAGGGGGCGUAGGCGGGCGGAUAAGUUAGAGGUGAAAUCCCGGGGCUCAACUUCGGAAUUGCCUCUGAUACUGGUCGGCUAGAGAGUAGUAGCGGUAGGCGGAAUGUGUGGUGUAGCGGUGAAAUGCUUAGAGAUCAUGCAGAACACCGAUUGCGAAGGCAGCUUACCGGGCUACUACUGACGUUGAGGCACGAAAGCGUGGGGAGCAAACAGGAUUAGAUACCCGGGUAGUC
rnacentral:rRNA from 1 species